rnacentral:rRNA from 1 species
UUAAUUGAUGACUUGUAUGAAGGAUUGGAUGAAAUAUAAACUGUCUCUUAAUUAUAUUUAGAAUUUAAUUUUUUAAUUAAAAAGUUAAAAUAAAUUAGAAAGACGAGAAGACCCUAUAGAGUUUUAUAAGUAAAAUUAAUUGAGAUUAUUUGUAAGGUUAAGAUUAAGAUUAAUUUAUUUAUUUUGUUGGGGUGACAGAAAAAUAUGAAAAACUUUUUAUAUGUUUAAAACAUUAAUAAGUGGUUAAAUGAUCCAAUAUUAUUGAUUAUAAGAAAAAAUUACCUUAGGGAUAACAGCGUAAUUUUUUUUUUUAGUUCACAUAAAAAAAAAA